GCAAACGUUUGGGAGGUUUUUCCCAGCCCUUCGUUGUCUUAAAGUUUGGGUUUCCUUAGUCGUUGUGUUUGUUUACUCGUCCUUUUUUUGUGAAUGUUUUAUUUGAAAGCAAAAUUAGGAAAGAAAUUAACCUGUGCUAUUUGUGGAAAUGUAUAUGAAGACGGCAGCAGAAAAAUUGGUGUUUUUUCAGUACCAAAGAAUAUGUUUUCUCGGUGGAAAUCGAUCAUACCUGAACUGAAAGAAACAGCGAGACUGUGCGACAUUCAUUUUGAAGAAUCAGAUAUAGUGAAGGGUUUCUAAAACGGGCAGAAUUUUCAUCCCCUACAAAACUGGAGAUUACUUAAGUCAGCUAUUCCAAAAUUUGUCUUGGUUAAAACAAAUGCAGAAUCCCCAUCUGCUCGUAAACCUUUAAAGCAGCUGUUAAAUGUCACUGGCCAUAACAACCGCUUGCCAACAAAAAGACAAAAUAAUUGUCAUUCUACUGCACAAGCAAAUGCCAGAAAACGCUGCAGGAAAGAAGUAAACAAUAAGCCCAUUGCUGGAGAGAGUAUGGUUCAGGAAAUAAUUUCGUCACAACAGAGUCCACAGAAAGUAUUGAUUGUUUCUUUCAAUGAAUGUGCAAGCCAGGGGCCGUAGUCUGAACUUGGAUUGAGUAUCAAUCCAGAUUGGCGUCCAUUGACUUGACAUGGCCAUCCAGAUUGGCUUGACGCUCAAGCCAAG
rnacentral:lncRNA from 1 species